GAAUGCUGACAUAAGUAACGAUAAAGCGGGUGAAAAGCCCGCUCGCCGGAAGACCAAGGGUUCCUGUCCAACGUUAAUCGGGGCAGGGUGAGUCGACCCCUAAGGCGAGGCCGAAAGGCGUAGUCGAUGGGAAACGGGUUAAUAUUCCCGUACUUGGUGUUACUGCGAAGGGGGGACGGAGAAGGCUAUGUUGGCCGGGCGACGGUUGUCCCGGUUUAAGCGUGUAGGUGUGUGUUCCAGGUAAAUCCGGUUCACUUUAACACUGAGGCGUGAUGACGAGGCACCACGGUGCUGAAGCAACAAAUGCCCUGCUUCCAGGAAAAGCCUCUAAGCAUCAGGUAACAUCAAAUCGUACCCCAAACCGACACAGGUGGUCAGGUAGAGAAUACCAAGGCGCUUGAGAGAACUCGGGUGAAGGAACUAGGCAAAAUGGUGCCGUAACUUCGGGAGAAGGCACGCUGACAC
rnacentral:rRNA from 1 species